rnacentral:lncRNA from 1 species
GCUGAAGAUGGUCGACCAACAUCACCUUCUCGGCUUCGGCCGCCGCCGACUUCUCCUUAUAAGCGGCCCGGACGUUACCGAACCUCCGGUACCCGGCCUCCAGUUUCGACAUUGUAUAGAUCAGCUGUCGAUUGCAAAUGCUUCGUCAGGAUCACAUAAUGAGAAAAAUCUCUAAGGAAAAGAGAAGGUGAUGCGAAGCUUACCUCGACCAUAGUCGGGUAGAACUU